rnacentral:lncRNA from 1 species
CUCAACGACACGAAGGCAAAGUGUGUUUGUUCGAUUGAACCUCGACAAACAAGCCCUACAAAUUCAUCUCUUCCAGAAAGACUAUAGCAAGAAUCACCGAAAAAACCGAAAAAUUUGGAAGUGUAAUCGUUAGCAAGAUGAUAUAAAUUGUUAAUAGUUUUUGUCACCUGUUUAAUGAAAAAAAAAAACAUUUGUGUAUAUGAAAAAUCUUUUGGGUAAAUUAAGGCCACCCUCGAGGUAAGGUCAAAUUACGAAAGCCCCCUAAUGUUUGAGCAAUUACAAUCACCCCUCCACUAUGAAUCUUCUUAUACGUCAAUUUUUGCAGUGUUAAAUUUAGUGGAAUCUUCUAGAUAUGUAGCCGUUUUGUACCCGUUUAUCUCAUUCGAGCCUUGAAACAAGAUGAUCAUAAAUAUGUGUCUCUUGGCUUGUAAAUAUCAUAUCGCAUCAGAAAUAUUAUUUUUGCACAAAACAAGAUAUUACAAAUUUGUUAUAUUUAUUUGAAUUUUGACCAAACAUUACUCAUCUCUUACAUUAUGCAAGUUACAUAUACUAUGAACUUUUGGCUUCUAAUCUUCUCACUUUGCCAUUCACUUUGCCAUUUCACCUGUCCAACCAAAGAAAAAACAAAUUAAUUAAAAAAAAAAUUAUAUAAAUAAUAUCGAAUAAAAUCGAAGAGUAAAAAAAUGUACAUGGUUCAAAGUCGGCGGUGCAUUUAACAGGUAGCUGCAUGGCCAUGGUGCGAUCGACGCCAGCAAUGGGGGGCCCAGUUACGAGGACACAGAGGCAAGGCUGACCUAGAGCUU